UACGAAGGGGGCUAGCGUUGCUCGGAAUCACUGGGCGUAAAGGGUGCGUAGGCGGGUUUUUAAGUCAGGGGUGAAAUCCUGGAGCUCAACUCCAGAACUGCCUUUGAUACUGAAGAUCUUGAGUUCGGGAGAGGUGGGUGGAACUGCGAGUGUAGAGGUGAAAUUCGUAGAUAUUCGCAAGAACACCAGUGGCGAAGGCGGCUCACUGGCCCGAUACUGACGCUGAGGCACGAAAGCGUGGGGAGCAAACAGG
rnacentral:rRNA from 1 species